rnacentral:lncRNA from 1 species
CCCCUCAGUGGUGUCAAGAAGUGAGUCACAAAGUCAGAUACAUUUUUCUUGUCUACCCUCACUUAAAAGUGUUUCAUCAAAUCUCAUGGCUUUGAAUCCUGUCUAAUGAUUUCCAUACCUAUAUUUUAAUCUGAAUCUCUCUUCAAAUCUGGAUCAAGUACCCAACUGCCUAUUACAUAUCUCCUUCCUGGAUAUCUAAUAGGCACCUAAAACUUAAUAAAUCCAAAGUGGACCUGCCCACCCCCAGCUAAUUUUUCUGCAGAUUUCCCUAUCUCAGUAAUGACAACUCCUAAUUUCUAGAUCCCUGGGCCAACAAUAUUAGAUUCAUCCUUAAUUAUUCUUUUUGUAAUACUUGUAUCAACCAACUAUGUCCUCUCAACCUCUGAUAUAUUUAGUCAGGGAUCUUCUUUCACCUACACUGCUAUCACCUUGGUCUAAGUGACAUCAGUUAUCAGCUCUUUCCUGUACUAUUGCUAGACUACUAAAUGGUCCUUACUUAUUUUCUUGAAUCCACCUCUCCCUGGGUGAGGGAUCAAGCACUCCCCACUCCACAUACAUAUAUAGUCUCUUGUCAUCACAGCAGCCAAAACAUAAACAUAUCCUAACAAUUCUCUGAUUUUACCAUUUCACUUGAAGGAGAAACCAGUGCCAUGUAAUAGCCUUCAUAGUAUUCUAUGACUUGGCGCAGCUAGAGUAUCUGUCAGAAUGAGCCAUAGACAAUUCUUUGAAAAGCAUUUGUUUGAAAAUAAUUUUUUGUAAGUUAGUCCCAAGUCAUUCUGCAAGUGGAAGAUCAGAAAUGAACAAAUGCUAGCUCCAGAAACCUAGCAAUUAUGGACAUAUGGGCUUGCAUUUAAUAUUACUGUAGUGAUUAUGAUAACCUUUGUAGAAAAAUAAGUCAAAGGACAAGAGGUUUGGCACAGAACUUUGAGAAAUUUCAACUUUUCAUGUUUAUGUGAAGGUUGGAAGGACUUGGGAGAUGGGGAGUAGAAGCUAGAGAACAAGAAAAGAAAUCAAGAAGAGUGUAUGAUCACUCAAGUGUGGGUUAUAUAGAAAAGUGAGACAUAGUCUCAAGAAGCUAAUAUUGGAUUUUAUCUGUGAAUUUAUUCAAUGAUUGAAUUUUUUAUUUUUGCUCACCAGAUGUAUUUGACAAUCAUUGACAUUUUAAGAUAUAGUUAUAAAAGCUAGACUAUAACCACUGUAUUUUUUCUGUGGUAAUUACAAGGUCAUGUAUUUGCCUUGUAAAAAAUGAUGUUAUACUGACUGCAUGCUUUAUUACACUGGACAUCUUUGUCAUAAGUUCCUAUUUCCAUGCUUUUUCAUGGCCAUUUUUGUAAGAAAUGCUCACAAAUAUGCCUAGAUAUUUUGCAUUGAUGUCUAUUUGCAAACAAUUUUGAUAGUCUUAGCAUUCUUAUAUUUUAUAUUUAGGAAGAAAAAGUGAUCACAAUAUUUGGCCUGUAUAACUCUUGAUGUCUUGACUCUUGAAUGACAGAUGUUUACAAUUUUCACAAUGUAAGAAAUCUUAGGAAAUUUUCUACAUAAGGUAUAAAUGAACAAUGGAAUUUGACUAAGAUCUUUAAAAUAGGAUUAAUUAUAUAUACCUUAUACAGUUGUAGUGAAGAUUAAAAGAGAUAAUAUAUCACAGUGUAUUUAGUAAAGGAUAACAUAUUGUAUAAGUGUAAAUUACACAUUCAUCAAAUAGAUAGUAUAAUGCAUAUUGUGUAGAAACAUCUCUAAUGAGCAAAGAGGUAGCCAAGAAUAUAAAUAUGACUAAAUCUCUUUCCUCAAGAUGUUUUCAUUCUAGUAUUGGAAGACCGGAGUAAUUUUAGCAUAAAUAGGAAUACACUAAAUGUAAAACUCAAAUGGCGAGCUUCUUAAUGAUGUGGCUUCUUUCAUGUUCACUAUAACUUCUUCACUGCUCAGAAAUGGUACUUGCCAGAUACAAUGCACUCAAUGCUUAUUCUAUACAUUGAUGAAUGCAAAAUAAACAAUAGCAUACUCAAAAGAAAUAACAGAUGAAAACAGGUUGUAAAAUGUAAAGCCAUAUUCAAAUGUAAAUAAAAGACAGUGUUAUGGAUUUUCAAAGGAAGGAAGAAUUACUUCUGAAUAAGAAGAAGCAAUUCUUCUCAAUGGGGAAGUGGCAUUUGACUGGACAUUUUAGCCUGGGGAAUUUUAAGAAGUGGAGAUUAAGAUUCUUUUUAGGAUGGAGGAGUGAUGAAAGCAAAGGGUAAGAAGGGCAGGUGAAAACAAAUAGUCUAAUGUUUUGUAUGUAUUAGUAGUAUGUAGUUGAUAGCUUUAGAAGACAAGAUUGUUUUAAUAUAGGUUUAGGCUAGACACAGUAAUCAAUAAUAUAGGCUUAAUUCACAAUCUAAAGGAAAGGUUUUUUUUUGAACAGUUGAAUAUGCUAAUAAAUAUGUAACUAUGCAUUUGAAAAAGUUGUCAUGCUGUGGCAAAAAUAUAAUUUGAUUAAAAGUUAAGACAUUUAAAAUUAGUCAUAUUAGAUAAUUAGAAAAAUAACAUUGACUAAAUGGUGACUAAAUAGGAGCUCUCAUUCCCACUAGAAAACCUAUUAAGAAAACCUAUUAAGAAAAAGGCUAUGGAAAAAUGUUUGCUAUUUGUCACUGUUUAAAUAACUAAUGCAUUGACUGAAAUGUUUAAAGAACUAAAUAUUUUUCCACAGUUGCAGCCACCUGGUGAGUUGCUAACAGUUAGACAAAGGCAACCUUAAGGAAACAUAUUUAUCACUACACCCCAUGCAGUUCCAGCCAUAAAGAGUUCAACUCCAAAAUGGAUAUUUCCCUUGGGCUGUAAAAUUUUGUUUCAGAAAAAAAACCUUGUAGGGGAAUUAAACUUCCCUUUUUAAAAAUUGAUUUGAGUUUUAUAGUUAUUCAAUUAUGCUGCUGUUCAAUAAACUUUUAUUAAACCUAUGUGUGUCUAACACAAGUCCAGGCACUGGGGCGGGGGGGGAUAAACAGGAUGCAUUUUCACACUAUUAUAAUAGACACUUAAAAUAUAAACACUGCAUCUGCCCUUGAUGGCAGAGAAACUCAGAGGGACACUUUCUAAUUAUUUAAAGAGAAGAUAUGAAAAUUCUCUUUAUUACAUUCAUUUUCAAUCCAGUGCAAGAAACAAACAUAAGUGGCAAUUAAACACAGAACUAUGACCUGCAUCACAAUCCAUUUACUUUAAAGAUACAUGAGGAAGGAGAUAAAAUCAUACUAUAUAAAAUCAUACUAUAUUCAGAUCUAGCAAUAAUCUUUUUUACUUUCCAAGUUUUGCCCAGAAAGCUUCUUAUAUAAUUUUAUUCAAGGUGUAAGCUUAUUAUAGAAAAAGUGAAAAAUACAGAUGGCUAUAAAUCAUAAGAUAAAUUACCUUCCAUCUAAUUUCACAAAAAUAACAGGUUAAUAUUUUGCUAGAUUUCCUCUUAAGUUUAGCAUUUAAAUUCUUUUAUAAAAUGGAAAUAAGAAAAUAAAAUUAACUACCUUGUCUCCAGUAUUUCUUUUCUCCAUGAUAUAAAGAGAAAGGUGAAGGCCUCCCUCACAAGCUCCAGUUCAUCUUCAGAAGUUACCACACACCCCCACCCAUGCCCCACUCUACCGUUAGAGAUGGUUUUAACUGUUUUGCCUUUUCCCUGGAUUUACUCAUCUCUCUUUUGGUCUCUCUCUUUUCAUUCUCUGUCUUCACUCUUUACCUAUCUGAAAGGGUGCAUUUUAUUUUUUUAAUAAUAACAGUAUCACUAUAUAUUGAUCUGUAACUCAAUCUAGUAACACUGACAAUAUAUUAUUUCAAUAUAUAGAGAUUCAAUUUACUCUUUACCUUGGCCACAUGGUGUUCCAUGACAUGGAUAUCUCUCAAUUUAUUAAAUACUUUCAUCAUUGUUAAACAUUUAAUUGCCAAUGUUUAUUAAUACAAGCAAUGGUAUAACACAGAUAUGAAUGCAUAUGAAACUUACUGGGCAUUUCUAGAAUUAGUGAUAUUCUGAGACAUAGACUCCUCCUUUUGAAAAUCCACAGCAACACCAGAUCUAAGUCGCAUCUGUGAGCUGCACAAUAGCUCAUGGAAAUGCGGAUCCUUAACCUACUAAGUGGGGCCAGGGAUUAAACCUGCAUCCUCAUGGAUACUAGUUCUGGGUUAGAAGAAAAUAAGCUAAUAAGAGUAAAAAGCAUUUAUCAAGGUGCUGAAAAUUCAGGGUUCCACUCUGACAAUUUCUGGCUAUAAUCUGACUUUUUUUUUUUUUUUCCACCCUAAUGGGAACACUAGGCCAGCCCGCUAGUAUAUCUUAGAGAUGGCAGCCUUUCAAAAGGGGAAGGAGAUUUGAACUUAGUUUUUUUUUUUUUUUUUCCCCAGGAGGGGGUUAUUUAUAAAUUUUUUAAAAGUUGUAGUUGAUUUAUAAUGUUUCAGGUGUGCAGCAGAGUGAUUUAGUUAUACAGAUAUAUAGAUAUAGAUCUAUCUAUUCUUUUUCAGAUUCUUUUCCAUUACAGCCACUACAAAAUACUGAAUAUAGUUUUCUGUGCUAUACAGUAGGACUUUGUUGUUUACUUUAUAUAUAGUAGUGUGUAUCUGCUAAUCCCAAACUCCUAAUUUAUCCUUGCCCCCUUUUCCCUUUAGUAACCACAAGUUCGUUUUCUGUCUGUGAGUCUCUUUCUAACUUGUAAAUAAGUUCAUUUAUACCACAUUUUAGAUGCCACAUGUAAGGGAUAUCAUAUGAUAUUUGUGUUUCUCUGUCUGACUUACUUCACUCAGUAUGAUAAUCUCUAAGUCUAUCCAUGUUGCUGCAAUGAACUUAAUUCUAGUUAAGUUUUGUAAAAAUACGUUUGCCUCACUUGCACCUGAUUCUUCUGGAAAAAAAAAAAAUUUAGCGUUAACAGGGAACUAUUGGAAAAACAGUGAGGUUAUAGUGACUGGAAAGGAACACCCUAAUUUUGUAAUCGUGGGGGGAGAGUAACUUCAGGAUCUGUUGUAAAGGAACAUCUUAGACUCUGAGAGGUGGGACAGCCAGAGGAACAUGAAUGCUUAUUGGAUCUUCAGAAGCUCCUUCACCCUCAGCCUUUCUAAUUCUUACUAAGGAGAUCCCUAAGUGGCUUUAAGUAGUUUUAGAGGUUAGAUAUGAUUAAACAAAUGGAUCAUGUUUUAUGUUACAAAUUGGUUAAACUAGUUUGUCAGUGCUCAGGAUAUCAAAAUAAAGCAAGGAUUGAAAUUAAAUUACUUAGUGAUUUUUGAUCCAUGUGUAUUAACUAAAUACAGUUUAGCUAGGAUUUUAGAGUUGGCCCUCCCUAUCCUGCAGUCCCACAUAUGCAAAUACAGAGGGCUGGCUAAGGAACUUGAGCAUCUGUGGAUUUUAGUGCAUGUAAGGUGUUCUGGAACUAAUAUACCCUGUGGACAUCGAGAGACAACUGUACUUUAUUUCUUGUGCAAACUUUUGGUUUCCUUGGUAUUUUCCACUUGCUUAAUUUCAUAAUUAUUCUAACUCAUCCUCAAACUCUCACAGAAACAUAAAUCUCUAAGAAACACUUGCUGAGUGCCUGCUAGAUUAUUAGGUACUGCUCUGAGAAUCUGCGAUAUAACAGUAUUCCAUGAAAAGCUCUCUGACCAUUUGGAGCUUACUGUCUGGCUGGUGAGACAGGUGAUAAACAAUAUUAUAAUAAAUAUAUGUACUAUCAAUAACAUUAAAAGAACUAGAAGGUACAGGGGAAGAAGGGCAAGGCAUAGCAGAGGGUAGAUUGCAGAUUUCAUUAUUAACAGGGAGUUGAGGCAAGCCUCCUUGGAAAGGCAACACUGAAAAGUCAUUCAAGGAGUGCAGGCUUGGAAGUGAUCACACUACCCAAGAAAGAAGCAUGCCUGGCAUGUUGGAGAACUAAGGGAGUGAGGGGGUGAGAGACAGGAGAUGAAGGUAAGAAAUAGGGCCCGCUUAAGACUUUGACAUUUAUUCUGAGAGAAUGAAGUUUUUAGGGCUCCAGCAGAGAGUGAUCAUCUGACCUCUGUUUUAAAGGAUCUUCUUGGCUGCUGGGCUGAGAUUAGCGGGUACUCUUUGGGGUGGGAGCAGAGGAGGGUGGGCUGGAACAGGAAGAGGAGUGAAAAAAGUUACAGGUGAGAUACUUGGUGGCACUGUUGCUUACACAUAUUGGGAACACUGGGGGUGGGGGGUUGCUUCUCUUUAACCAUUAUUGCCAGUGCUCCUGGACUUCGUUCAGAGGUCUGAAUGGAUUGCUUAAUCUGUGUGUUCCUACUGGAAUCUCUGUUCACCAUCACAGGCAGGAUGCCUUUCAACUGCAGUGGAUGUCCUGUUUACUACCCAAAGUUUCCUCUUCCUUGAAGAC